rnacentral:rRNA from 1 species
UGCAGUCGAACGAAGUAGCAAUACUUAGUGGCAGACGGGUGAGUAACAUGUAGGUAUCUGCCCUUUGGCCUGGAAUAACACGAGGAAACUUGUGCUAAUACCGGAUAAGUCUUUACGGAGAAAGCUUUAUGCACCAUUGGAUGAGCCUGCACUUGAUUAGUUUGUUGGUGGGGUAAUGGCCUACCAAGACUGUGAUCAAUAGCUGAUUUGAGAGGAUGAUCAGCCACAUUGGGACUGAGACACGGCCCAAACUCCUACGGGAGGCAGCAGUGGGGAAUCUUGCACAAUGGAGGAAACUCUGAUGCAGCGAUGCCGCGUGAGUGAAGAAGGCCUUUGGGUUGUAAAGCUCUUUCGUCGGGGAAGAAAAUGACUGUACCCGAAUAAGAAGGUCCGGCUAACUUCGUGCCAGCAGCCGCGGUAAUACGAAGGGACCUAGCGUAGUUCGGAAUUACUGGGCUUAAAGAGUUCGUAGGUGGUUGAAAAAGUUAGUGGUGAAAUCCCAGAGCUUAACUCUGGAACUGCCAUUAAAACUUUUCAGCUAGAGUAUGAUAGAGGAAAGCA